UACGGGGGGAGCAAACGUUGCUCGGAAUCACUGGGCGUAAAGGGCGCGUAGGCGGCCAGAUAAGUGGGGUGUUAAAUCUCCCGGCUCAACCGGGAACCUGCACCUCAUACUGCCUGGCUUGAGUACAGCAGAGGAGACUGGAAUUCCCGGUGUAGCGGUGAAAUGCGUAGAUAUCGAGAGGAACACCUGCGGCGAAGGCGGGUUGCUGGGCUGACACUGACGCUGAGGCGCGAAAGCUAGGGGAGCGAACGGG
rnacentral:rRNA from 1 species